GCUGGGAUAGCUCAUUCAGUAGAGCAUGAGACUCUUAAUCUCAAGGUUGCAGUGGUGGAGAAAGCUUCUCCAGCG